rnacentral:rRNA from 1 species
UACGUAGGGGGCAAGCGUUGUCCGGAUUUAUUGGGCGUAAAGCGCUCGCAGGUGGUCCGCUGCGUCGUGCGUGAAAGACCCCGGCUCAACUGGGGAGUGUCGUGCGAUACGGGCGGACUGGAGGCCAGUAGGGGGAUGCGGAAUUCCGGGUGUAGUGGUGGAAUGCGUAGAGAUCCGGAGGAACACCAGCGGCGAAGGCGGCAUCCUGGACUGGUCCUGACACUCAGGAGCGAAAGCGUGGGGAGCGAACAGG